rnacentral:tRNA from 1 species
GCACUCGUAGCUUAAUGGAUAGAGCAUCAGCUUGCGGAGCUGACGGUUACAGGUUCGAAUCCUGUCGAGUGCA